GACAGAGGUCCCAAGCGUUGUCCGGAAUCACUGGGCGUAAAGGGCGCGUAGGUGGCGUGAUAAGGGUGUGGUGAAAGCCCGGGGCUCAACCCCGGGUCUGCCAUGCCGACUGUCAGGCUGGAGUACUGUAGGGGCAGGCGGAAUUCCGGGUGUAGCGGUGGAAUGCGUAGAGAUCCGGAGGAAGACCGGUGGCGAAGGCGGCCUGCUGGGCAGUUACUGACGCUGAGGUGCGAAAGCGUGGGGAGCAAACAGG
rnacentral:rRNA from 1 species